CCUACGGGAGGCAGCAGCCAGGAAUCUUGGGCAAUGGGCGAAAGCCUGACCCACCAACACCGUGUGGGUGAUGAAGGCCUUCGGGUCGUAAAGCCCUGUUGAUAGGGACGAAGGGCGAAGGGUUAAUAGCCUGGAGCUUGACGGUACCUUUCGAGGAAGCCCCGGCUAACUACGUGCCAGCAGCCGCGGUAAUAUGUAGGGGGCGAGCGUUGUCCGGAAUUACUGGGCGUAAAGAGCGUGUAGGCGGUUCGGUAAGUCUGUCGUGAAAUCCUGGGGCUCAACCCUGGGCGUGCGAUGGAUACUGCCGGGCUAGAGGGUGGUAGAGGCGAGUGGAAUUCCCGGUGUAGCGGUGAAAUGCGCAGAUAUCGGGAGGAACACCAGUAGCGAAGGCGGCUCGCUGGGCCACACCUGACGCUGAGACGCGAAAGCUAGGGGAGCGAACAGGAUUAGAUACCCUGGUAGUCCUAGCCGUAAACGAUGGACACUAGGUGUGGGCGGAGUCGAAUCUGUCUGUGCCGAAGCCAACGCGUUAAGUGUCCCGCCUGGGGAGUACGGCCGCAAGGCUAAAACUCAAAAGAAUUGACGGGGGCCCGCACAAGCAGCGGAGCAUGUUCUUUAAUUCGAUGCAACGCGAAGAACCUUACCUGGACUUGACUGGUGCUGCAAGCGCACACAAAUGUGUGACCUUCGAGGGUGCACCACAGAUGCUGCAUG
rnacentral:rRNA from 1 species